GGGUCAGUAGGUUGGUCGUGCCACCGGUACGUACUGGUCUCACUGAUUCCUCCUUCCUGAAGAACCGUAAUGCCAUUAAUUUGGUGUUGCGGGGAAACAGGACUGUUACUUUGAAAAAAUUAGAGUAUUUAAAGCAAGCUAACGCUUGAAUACAUUAGCAUGGAAUAAUGAAAUAGGACGAUCGAUCCUAUUUUGUUGGUUUCUAGUAUUGACGUA
rnacentral:rRNA from 1 species